rnacentral:rRNA from 1 species
UGCAGUCGAGCGGACAGAUGGGAGCUUGCUCCCUGAUGUUAGCGGCGGACGGGUGAGUAACACGUGGGUAACCUGCCUGUAAGACUGGGAUAACUCCGGGAAACCGGGGCUAAUACCGGAUGGUUGUUUGAACCGCAUGGUUCAAACAUAAAAGGUGGCUUCGGCUACCACUUACAGAUGGACCCGCGGCGCAUUAGCUAGUUGGUGAGGUAACGGCUCACCAAGGCAACGAUGCGUAGCCGACCUGAGAGGGUGAUCGGCCACACUGGGACUGAGACACGGCCCAGACUCCUACGGGAGGCAGCAGUAGGGAAUCUUCCGCAAUGGACGAAAGUCUGACGGAGCAACGCCGCGUGAGUGAUGAAGGUUUUCGGAUCGUAAAGCUCUGUUGUUAGGGAAGAACAAGUACCGUUCGAAUAGGGCGGUACCUUGACGGUACCUAACCAGAAAGCCACGGCUAACUACGUGCCAGCAGCCGCGGUAAUACGUAGGUGGCAAGCGUUGUCCGGAAUUAUUGGGCGUAAAGGGCUCGCAGGCGGUUUCUUAAGUCUGAUGUGAAAGCCCCCGGCUCAACCGGGGAGGGUCAUUGGAAACUGGGGAACUUGAGUGCAGAAGAGGAGAGUGGAAUUCCACGUGUAGCGGUGAAAUGCGUAGAGAUGUGGAGGAACACCAGUGGCGAAAGCGACUCUCUGGUCUGUAACUGACGCUGAGGAGCGAAAGCGUGGGGAGCGAACAGGAUUAGAUACCCUGGUAGUCCACGCCGUAAACGAUGAGUGCUAAGUGUUAGGGGUUUCCGCCCCUUAGUGCUGCAGCUAACGCAUUAAGCACUCCGCCUGGGGAGUA